AAUCAAGCGCGAGAAGGGCGUUUGGUGGAUGCCUAGGCAGCAAGAGGCGAUGAAGGACGUGAUACCCUGCGAUAAGCUUUGGGGAGCCGGGAAUAGGCUUUGAUCCAAAGAUCUCCGAAUGGGGCAACCCACCUGAAUGUUGGUUAUUGUUUGCGCGAGCAAUCAAUAAUCAGCAGAGACAGGUACUUAUGACCUGAAUACAUAGGGUUAUAAGAGCGAACCCGGGGAACUGAAACAUCUAAGUACCCGGAGGAAAGGAAAUCAACAGAGACUCCCCCAGUAGCGGCGAGCGAACGGGGACCAGCCGAGC
rnacentral:ncRNA from 1 species